GAUGAAGAACGCAGCGAAAUGCGAUAAGUAAUGCGAAUUGCAGAAUUUCCGUGAGUCAUCGAAUCUUUGAACGAACAUUGCGCCCUUUGGUAUUCCUUAGGGCAUGCCUGUUCGAGCGUCAUUUAAACCUUCAAGCUCAGCUUGGUGUUGGGUGACUGUCCGCUUCACCGCGGACUCGCCUCAAAAUUAUUGGCGGCCGGUACAUUGGCUUCGAGCGCAGCAGAAACGCGAACUCGGGCCCGUCGUAUUGGCUCCCAGAAGCUAUCUUCACAAUUUUGACCUCGGAUCAGGUAGGGAUACCCGCUGAACUUAAGCAUAUCAAUAAGCGGAGGA
rnacentral:misc_RNA from 1 species